rnacentral:misc_RNA from 1 species
UGCAUGGAAAGACCUCGGAAAGUGGGGGCAAAGUGGACUAAUAAACACAUCGCUCCUGAUGAAAAAAUAGAGUCAUUUGAGCUUGAUUAUGAUGGCAAGCGUGAUAGGUGGAAUGGUUAUGAGACAUCCAAUUUUGCUCGUGUUGUUGAGAGGUAUGAAGCACGAGAUGCAGCUCGGAGUAAGCAUCUAAAGGAGCAACAACUUAAGAAAUUAGAGGAGAAAAACAGUAACCAAACUGAUGAGGCUGGGGCUAGUGAUGAAGACAAUUAUGAAGAUGAUUUGAGGGUGGAUGAAGC